GACGAACGCUGGCGGCGUGCUUAACACAUGCAAGUCGAACGGAAAGGCCCUGCUUUUGUGGGGUGCUCGAGUGGCGAACGGGUGAGUAACACGUGAGUAACCUGCCCUUGACUUUGGGAUAACUUCAGGAAACUGGGGCUAAUACCGGAUAUGAGCUCCUGCUGCAUGGUGGGGGUUGGAAAGUUUCGGCGGUUGGGGAUGGACUCGCGGGUUAUCAGCUUGUUGGUGGGGUAGUGGCUUACCAAGGCUUUGACGGGUAGCCGGCCUGGGAGGGUGACCGGCCACAUUGGGACUGAGAUACGGCCCAGACUCCUACGGGAGGCAGCAGUGGGGAAUAUUGCACAAUGGGCGGAAGCCUGAUGCAGCAACGCCGCGUGCGGGAUGACGGCCUUCGGGUUGUAAACCGCUUUCGCCUGUGACGAAGCGUGAGUGACGGUAAUGGGUAAAGAAGCACCGGCUAACUACGUG
rnacentral:rRNA from 1 species